ACGGUACCUGAUCAGAAAGCCACGGCUAACUACGUGCCAGCAGCCGCGGUAAUACGUAGGUGGCAAGCGUUAUCCGGAAUUAUUGGGCGUAAAGCGCGCGUAGGCGGUUUUUUAAGUCUGAUGUGAAAGCCCACGGCUCAACCGUGGAGGGUCAUUGGAAACUGGAAAACUUGAGUGCAGAAGAGGAAAGUGGAAUUCCAUGUGUAGCGGUGAAAUGCGCAGAGAUAUGGAGGAACACCAGUGGCGAAGGCGACUUUCUGGUCUGUAACUGACGCUGAUGUGCGAAAGCGUGGGGAUCAAACAGGAUUAGAUACCCUGGUAGUCCACGCCGUAAACGAUGAGUGCUAAGUGUUAGGGGGUUUCCGCCCCUUAGUGCUGCAGCUAACGCAUUAAGCACUCCGCCUGGGGAGUACGACCGCAAGGUUGAAACUCAAAGGAAUUGACGGGGACCCGCACAAGCG
rnacentral:rRNA from 1 species